UACGAAGGGGGCUAGCGUUGUUCGGAAUGACUGGGCGUAAAGGGCGCGUAGGCGGAUGGCACAGUCAGAUGUGAAAUUCCUGGGCUUAACCUGGGGGCUGCAUUUGAUACGUGUGAUCUAGAGUGAGGAAGAGGGUUGUGGAAUUCCCAGUGUAGAGGUGAAAUUCGUAGAUAUUGGGAAGAACACCGGUGGCGAAGGCGGCGACCUGGUCCUUAACUGACGCUGAGGCGCGAAAGCGUGGGGAGCAAACAGG
rnacentral:rRNA from 1 species